GAUGAACGCUGGCGGCGUGCCUAAUACAUGCCAGUCGAGCGAACAGACGAGGAGCUUGCUCCUCUGACGUUAGCGGCGGACGGGUGAGUAACACGUGGAUAACCUACCUAUAAGACUGGGAUAACUUCGGGAAACCGGAGCUAAUACCGGAUAAUAUAUUGAACCGCAUGGUUCAAUAGUGAAAGACGGUUUUGCUGUCACUUAUAGAUGGAUCCGCGCCGCAUUAGCUAGUUGGUAAGGUAACGGCUUACCAAGGCAACGAUGCGUAGCCGACCUGAGAGGGUGAUCGGCCACACUGGAACUGAGACACGGUCCAGACUCCUACGGGAGGCAGCAGUAGGGAAUCUUCCGCAAUGGGCGAAAGCCUGACGGAGCAACGCCGCGUGGGUGAUGAAGGUCUUCGGAUCGUAAAACUCUGUUAUUAGGGAAGAACAAAUGUGUAAGUAACUAUGCACGUCUUGACGGUACCUAAUCAGAAAGCCACGGCUAACUACGUG
rnacentral:rRNA from 1 species